GUUUAUUGACAGUAACUUCUGUGCGGGCAGGGCUGUCCUUCAGGGUUUGGUGUAAAUCAAACACAACGCUUGCGAGCUCCAGAGAAGGGCGGCGGGGCUGGGUUGGCUGCUUCUGACAUUGCUGAAAUGCCCCAAAAAUGAGACAACUGCAGCAGAAUGGAAUUCACCUGGAAAAACCGAACGGACCUUUUCCUGCACCGUCAAAGGCUCCGCACAGGUGGAAACAACCCCAGACAGUGGUAGGAGAUUAUUGUAGUUCUCUGCACUGAAAGUAAAUGAAGUAGCUUAAGGCAACUGAAUUUUGUGCAGCUAUUUUAAUAUCACAACGUUUUAACUCAAAGAAUUUUAAAAU